CUUUAAAGAACAAAGUGUACCCUCAAACACUUAAAGGACCACUAUAGUGCCAGGAAAACAUACUCGUUUUCCUGGCACUAUAAUGCCCUGAGGGUGCCCCCACCCUCAGGGUCCCCCUCCCACCCGGCUCUGGAAGGGGGAAAGGGGUAAAAACGUACCUUUUUCCAGCGCUGGGCGGGGAGCUCUCCUCCUCCGAUCCUCC